rnacentral:rRNA from 1 species
GAUGAACGCUAGCGGCAGGCCUAACACAUGCAAGUCGAGGGGUAACAGGUCUAGCAAUAGAUGCUGACGACCGGCGCACGGGUGAGUAACACGUUUGUAACCUACCUCUAACUGGAGAAUAGCCCGGAGAAAUUCGGAUUAAUACUUCAUAAUGUCAUAGAAAGGCAUCUUUUUAUGAUUAAAGCUCAGGCGGUUAGAGAUGGACAUGCGUACCAUUAGCUAGUUGGUGAGGUAACGGCUCACCAAGGCAACGAUGGUUAGGGGGUCUGAGAGGAUGAUCCCCCACACUGGUACUGAGACACGGACCAGACUCCUACGGGUGGCAG